UGGCUCAGAUUGAACGCUGGCGGCAUGCCUAACACAUGCAAGUCGAACGGCAGCACAGUAAAGAUUUCGGUCUUUACGGGUGGCGAGUGGCGGACGGGUGAGUAAAGCGUAGGAAUCUGUCCUGGAGAGUGGGAUAACCCGAGGAAACUCGGGCUAAUACCGCAUGAUAUCGAGAGAUCAAAGCAGGGGACCCUUCGGGGCCUUGCGCUCUAGGAUGAGCCUACGUCGGAUUAGCUAGUUGGUGGGGUAAAGGCCUACCAAGGCGACGAUCCGUAGCUGGUCUGAGAGGAUGACCAGCCACACUGGGACUGAGACACGGCCCAGACUCCUACGGGAGGCAGCAGUGGGGAAUCUUGGACAAUGGGGGAAACCCUGAUCCAGCGAUGCCGCGUGUGUGAAGAAGGCCUUCGGGUUGUAAAGCACUUUAGGUGGGAAGAAAAGUAAUGAGUGAAUAACUGAUUGCUCUGACGGUACCCGCAGAAUAAGCACCGGCUAACUCUGUGCCAGUAGCCGCGGUAAUACAGAGGGUGCAAGCGUUAAUCAGAAUGACUGGGCGUAAAGGGCGUGUAGGUGGUUGACUAGGUUUGAUGUGAAAUCCCCGGGCUUAACCUGGGAAUUGCGUCGAAAACGGGUCGACUAGAGUGAGAUAGAGGGUUGUGGAAUUUCCGGUGUAGCGGUGAAAUGCGUAGAUAUCGGAAAGAACAUCAGUGGCGAAGGCGACAACCUGGAUCUUAACUGACACUGAGGCGCGAAGGCGUGGGGAGCAAACAGGAUUAGAUACCCUGGUAGUCCACGCAGUAAACGAUGAG
rnacentral:rRNA from 1 species